rnacentral:SRP_RNA from 1 species
GCUGGGUGCAGUGGCGCGUGCCUGUAAUCCCAGCUACUCGGGAGGCUGAGGCUGGAGGCAGGGGUUCUGGGCUGCAGUGUGCUAUGCCGAUCGGGUGUCCGCACUAAGUUCGGCAUCAAUAUGGUGACCUCCCGGGAGUCGGGGACCACCAGGUUGCCUAAGGAGUGGUGAACCAGCCCAGGUCGGAAACGGAGCAGGUCAAAACUCCCGUGCUGAUCAGUAGUGGGAUCGCGCCUGUGAAUAGCCACUGUACCCCAGCCUGGGCAACAUAUAUAUAUUUU